rnacentral:rRNA from 1 species
UGGCGACCGGCGCACGGGUGAGUAACACGUAUCCGAACCUGCCGAUGACUCGGGGAUAGCCUUUCGAAAGAAAGAUUAAUACCCGAUGGCAUAGUUCUUCCGCAUGGUGGAACUAUUAAAGAAUUUCGGUCGAUCGAUGGGGAUGCGUUCCAUUAGGUUGUUGGCGGGGUAACGGCCCCACCAAGCCUUCGAUGGAUAGGGGUUCUGAGAGGAAGGUCCCCCACAUUGGAACUGAGACACGGUCCAAACUCCUACGGGAGGCAGCAUG